UAUGUCGUAGAUUAAUAGGUAAAUCUUGAAUUUUUGGUAUUCACUACUGGGUGUUCGAAUCACCUCGACAUAA
rnacentral:tRNA from 1 species